UAGGGAAUCUUCCGCAAUGGACGCAAGUCUGACGGAGCAACGCCGCGUGAGUGAAGAAGGAUUUCGGUUCGUAAAACUCUGUUGUUAGAGAAGAACAGCGCAUAGAGUAACUGUUAUGCGUGUGACGGUAUCUAACCAGAAAGCCACGGCUAACUACGUGCCAGCAGCCGCGGUAAUACGUAGGUGGCAAGCGUUGUCCGGAUUUAUUGGGCGUAAAGCCCGCGCCGGCGGUUAAUUAAGUCUGAUGUGAAAGCCCCCGGCUCAACCGGGUAGGGUCAUUGGAAACUGGUGGACUUGAGUGCAGAAGAGGAGAGUGGAAUUCCAUGUGUAGCGGUGAAAUGCGUAGAUAUAUGGAGGAACACCAGUGGCGAAGGCGACUCUCUGGUCUGUAACUGACGCUGAGGCUCGAAAGCGUGGGUAGCAAACAGG
rnacentral:rRNA from 1 species